AGUGGCGGACGGGUGAGUAACACGUGGGUAACCUACCCCCAGGUGAGGAAUACCGGCGAGAAAUCGUCGACAAGACCGCAUGGGCUUCUCAACAGCAAAGCCUUGCCAGGGGAUGGGCCUGCGGCCGAUUAGCUAGUUGGUGAGGUAAGAGCCCACCAAGGUGACGAUCGGUAGCUGGUCUGAGAGGAUGAUCAGCCACACUGGGAUUGAGAACGGCCCAGACUCCUACGGGAGGCAGCAGUGAGGAAUUUUCGGCAAUGGGCGCAAGCCUGACCGAGCAACGCCGCGUGCAGGAGGAAGGUCUUCGGAUCGUAAACUGCUUUUCUCUGGGACGAGGGACGGUACCAGAGGAAGAAGCCCCGGCUGACUACGUGCCUGCAGCCGCGGUAAUACGUUAGGGGCGAGCGUUGUCCGGAGUUACUGGGCGUAAAGCGCCCGCAGGCGGUCGGUCGCGUUUG
rnacentral:rRNA from 1 species